CCCAGGAGUUCAGCCCCCAUAAGCUGGAGGGAAAGUCCCAAAAUGCUUAUCUCCCGUUAGUCAUUAUUUAACUGAGUAGAUGGUCUAAAAUAUUCAGUGUUAAGUAACUUCUGUUGUCCUUACAGCAUCAGAGGCUUCUGAAAAACCAAGCGGGUCAUGGCAGCAUGGUUCAUCCUGCAGGUCUGUGGCAGCUGACAAAUUGCUUUCAGAGGACACUGUGUGCACAAAGCUCUCCCCACUCAGGAUCUCUUGGGAAAAAAGUUUUCUGGCUUUGCAGGGACUUUGAAAGGAAUUAAAAUUAAUAGGAGGAAAUACAGGAUUAAUUCUCUGGAUGUGCUGACUCAUGGUCUUAAGGCCCAAGAACAUGUCUUCCUUUGAGAAGGAAGAAGCCCAAAGCCCAUGACUUGCCCUCCUUUCCUGGAGUGAGAUGAGCUGGGAUUCUGCAGCCCUGAAACAGGCCCCCUCCCAGAGCCCAUGUCUGGAAAACAUGGAUAUAGAAUGGAUGUCAGUGCCCUGGGCUGGACCAGCUCGUCUCGUUGCAGCCAGGAUGUCACCUCCCCCAUUCCAAGAGCUGCUUAACUCAGGCAGGCCAGCAGGUUCCCUGAGGGGCAAAUAUACUGUCAGAAGUCCUGGAUCAGGCACUGAAGGUCUCAGAGCAGCAGUGAGAACACACAGACGUGUUGAAAACUGCAAUUUUCAUUGGAAAGCACACAAUUGUAUGCAUGCGGCACUCACAAGUGAAAAAUAUUGACCAAGGAGAAAGAACUAAACAAAGAGAAGCCCAGAGAACUCCCUAACAUAAUGUUAGCAUCUCUUUUACUACAGUCUGGUUUUUGCACAGGAGGGUGGACAUAUAGAGGACACACACAUUGUUAAUCUGUUUUCUUCAGUGUGCCUGAAGGACAGGCACACAGCUUCCUGCACUGCUUAGCUGGAACAAGUGCCAGGAAAAAAGGGAAAUCCCACAUGUGGAAGCCAAGUCUCUAGCCCCAGCCAAUGGUAAAGGAAAAAUCCAGAGGUGAGCAAA